rnacentral:rRNA from 1 species
CGGACGGGUGAGUACAACUUGGGAAUCUGCCUGAUGGCGGGGGACAACCACUGGAAACGGUGGCUAAUACCGCAUAAUACCUACGGGUCAAAGUGUGGGACCUUCGGGCCACACGCCAUAGAUUAGCCCAAGUGAGAUUAGGUAGUUGGUAGGGUAAAGGCCUACCAAGCCGACGAUCUUUAGCUGGUCUGAGAGGAUGAUCAGCCACACUGGGACUGAGACACGGCCCAGACUCCUACGGGAGGCAGCAGUGGGGAAUAUUGGACAAUGGGGGCAACCCUGAUCCAGCCAUGCCGCGUGUGUGAAGAAGGCCUUCGGGUUGUAAAGCACUUUCAGUGGUGAGGAAGGGUGUGUUGUUAAUAGCAACAUACAUUGACGUUAGCCACAGAAGAAGCACCGGCUAACUCCGUGCCAGCAGCCGCGGUAAUACGGAGGGUGCGAGCGUUAAUCGGAAUUACUGGGCGUAAAGCGCACGUAGGCGGUUUGUUAAGCAAGAUGUGAAAGCCCCGGGCUCAACCUGGGAAUAGCAUUUUGAACUGGCAAGCUAGAGUUUUGAAGAGGGUGGUAGAAUUUCCUGUGUAGCGGUGAAAUGCGUAGAUAUAGGAAGGAAUACCAGUGGCGAAGGCGGCCACCUGGUCAAAAACUGACGCUGAGGAGCGAAAGCGUGGGGAGCAAACAGGAUUAGAUACCCUGGUAGUCCACGCUGUAAACGAUGUCAACUAGUUGUUCGU